rnacentral:SRP_RNA from 2 species
GCCGGGUGUGGUGGCGCACACCUGUAGUCCCAGCUACUCGGGAGGCUGAGGCAGGAGAAUCGCUUGAACCUGGGAGGUGGAGGUUGCAGUGAGCCGAGAUUGUGCCACUGCACUCCAGCCUGGGUGACAGAGUGAGACUCUGUCUCAA